rnacentral:rRNA from 1 species
GACGAACGCUGGCGGCGUGCCUAAUACAUGCAAGUAGAACGCUGAAGAGAGGAGCUUGCUCUUCUUGGAUGAGUUGCGAACGGGUGAGUAACGCGUAGGUAACCUGCCUUGUAGCGGGGGAUAACUAUUGGAAACGAUAGCUAAUACCGCAUAACAAUGGAUGACACAUGUCAUUUAUUUGAAAGGGGCAAUUGUUCCACUACAAGAUGGACCUGCGUUGUAUUAGCUAGUAGGUGAGGUAAUGGCUCACCUAGGCGACGAUACAUAGCCGACCUGAGAGGGUGAUCGGCCACACUGGGACUGAGACACGGCCCAGACUACUACGGGAGGCAGCAGUAGGGAAUCUUCGGCAAUGGGGGCAACCCUGACCGAGCAACGCCGCGUGAGUGAAGAAGGGUUUCGAAUCGUAAAGCUCUGUUGUAAGUCAAGAACGGGUGUGAGAGUGGAAAGUUCACACUGUGACGGUAGCUUACCAGAAAGGGACGGCUAACUACGUG